CUAGUCCUCAUAGGCACAUCAGAGCUCAUUCCUAGCUGUAACAACCAUGUCAAUCCAAAACAAAGAGCCAGUCUGCGUCACUGGAGCCAAUGGCUUCAUUGGAUCCUACCUGGUCCGGACCCUCAUAACCCAUGGCUACACCACCAUCCACGCCUCCAUCUACCCCUACUCCGAUGCUUCCCACCUCUUCCACCUCCUUCCUUCCGCUGCCUACUCUAACGUCCAACUUCGUAUCUUUGAGGCCGACGUUCUUGACUACGACGCCGUUGCCAAGGCCGUUGAGGGCUGUCGGGGGGUUUUCCACGUGGCCUCUCCCUGUACGCUAGAGGACCCUAAGGACCCGCAGAAGGAGCUUGUAUUGCCUGCGGUGCAGGGCACGAUUAAUGUGCUGCAGGCUGCCAAGAACUUCGGUGUGAGGCGCGUGGUGGUCACGUCGUCUAUUUCGGCGUUGGUUCCUAAUCCUAAUUGGCCGGCCGGUAAAGUGUUUGAUGAGUCGUCGUGGACUGACAUCGAUUACUGCAAGUCUCGUCAGAAGUGGUAUCCAGUGUCAAAGACACUGGCAGAGAAAGAAGCGUGGGACUUUGCAAAGAAGCAUGGAAUGAAUCUGGUGACAAUCCAUCCUGCUACAUGUCUAGGCCCACUUUUGCAGCCUAGUCUGAAUGCUAGCUGUGCUGUGUUGAAGCAAUUGUUGGAGGGAUCAGAAGACACUCAGGAAUAUCACUGGUUGGGAGCUGUGCAUGUCAAAGAUGUGGCUGAGUCACAAAUUUUGCUGUUUGAGACUCCUACUGCUUCUGGUAGAUAUCUCUGCACAAAUGGUAUUUAUCAAUUUGGUGAUUUUGCAGAGAGGGUUUCCAAGCUCUUCCCUGAGUUUCCUGUUCACAGGUUUGUUGGGGAAACUCAACCGGGCCUGACAACUUGCAAAGAUGCUGCCAAGAGAUUAAUUGAGAUGGGGCUAGUUUUCACUCCAGUUGAAGAUGCCAUCCAGGACACGGUGGAAAGUCUAAAGGCUAAAGGAUUCCUAAAGCACAAAAUGUCAACAUCAUAGUUUAUUUUGGGGCUGAAAUUUUUUUCACUAUUUCCUUAGUUGUUACUAGUAAUGAUAGAAAUGAGAAUGCUUUUCUUUAAUAAUUCAACAAACUCCCCUUUGAUUAUCCCUUUUCUCUUUUUAUUUUCCUAAAGUGACUUUCAAUUGUUAUUGUAUGUAACAGGAAAUAAUCCGUGUUUCCAUUUGAUCAUAUGGCUGUGUCAACUUUCUUAUAUUAAUACUACUAAAAGAUGCUCAUAUUCU
rnacentral:misc_RNA from 1 species